AGAUUGAACGCUGGCGGCAGGCCUAACACAUGCAAGUCGAGCGGCAGCACGGGUACUUGUACCUGGUGGCGAGCGGCGGACGGGUGAGUAAUGCCUAGGAAUCUGCCUGGUAGUGGGGGAUAACGCUCGGAAACGGACGCUAAUACCGCAUACGUCCUACGGGAGAAAGCAGGGGACCUUCGGGCCUUGCGCUAUCAGAUGAGCCUAGGUCGAUUAGCUAGUUGGUGAGGUAAUGGCUCACCAAGGCGACGAUCCGUAACUGGUCUGAGAGGAUGAUCAGUCACACUGGAACUG
rnacentral:rRNA from 1 species